AAAGAUUUGAAAGUCAACACACAACAGUGGAGAUAAAGUAAAGUGGCCACAGGAAUGGAUACAGGUAUAACGUUGGUGAUGUGACAAACCUGAUAGCUAGGUUAGUUCAGAUAUCAGACCUCAGUUCAGUUUUUGCUCAUAAUGUAGCAGUUUACAGACCCCUCCUGCAGGCCUGGCUGUUUGGGGAACAGGUCAUAUUCGUAGGACCACAGUGUUUCCUCAGCAAGCUGCACAGGAGAGCUCUGCUGGAAUGCUGCUAAGCUGCAGAUGUACCAGCCAAAUUACUCCAGAGGGGAAUUACCAGGCCAUAAAUCCAGACGUCAGGAGGAUGGCUGUAGCCUAUUUCACGGCUACAGUCAGACCCUUAAGAUGAUUUGGAAGAAAUUGUGAUCACCUGGAAACCCUGCUUUUAGUGAGCCCUUGGGAUGAAAGGGAAAAGCAGUGGAAAAAGAGACAUCGGUUCCCGACAUGGGGAAGUCUUUGUUUCUAUUCUCUCCAUUCCAAGUCUCUCCAGGAAUCCUAAUUUCCACCAUUCACCUACCUAUCGGCAGAUAAAAGCUGGUUGAAGGGGGGGAUUUCCUCAAUUGAGACAGCUUGUAACCAGUCUGCAUAAGGGGGGAGCCGCACAAAGCUCUGGAGUGAGAGGAGGUUGGAGCACAGAUUUCAAAUCGCUUUGAAUUCGAACACACUGGUGAGCGAGUUGUUCUAAAGGACGUUUUCACAGAGACUGAUCUGAAACCUGGCUGGGACAUCUCUGAGCUGAGAGUUUGGAUAAGAACAGCGACACACAACACGAGAUCUCCACAAAUCCUAAAAUGUUCCCAAGAAACGAAAGCCCAGUUGUUGACACUGCUUGUGAGAGACUGAGCGUACAAUAGCUUUGUUUUGCAUUAUGUUGGUUUCUUGAAACCACUCUUAUUAGGGCUGUUGUCUUUUCUGGGGGGGAGGGUGCUUAGAUAGUGAUGUCCAAGUUCAGGGAAUGCCAGGCCUGGCAGCUGACGUCCUUAAUGUGGCUGCUUGGCAUUAGAGUGAGGGUGGGGAAAGUCCAUGCCAGUCUCUGGGGAGUGGGAGGUGUUAACUUCUAAUGGCUUUCUCUGCCACAGCCUUGACAUCUGCAGCGCUCCCAGCAAAAGAGAGUGAGGCCUUUUUG